rnacentral:rRNA from 1 species
AUUGAACGCUGGCGGCAUGCCUUACACAUGCAAGUCGAACGGCAGCAUGAUCUAGCUUGCUAGAUUGAUGGCGAGUGGCGAACGGGUGAGUAAUACAUCGGAACGUGCCCUGUAGUGGGGGAUAACUAGUCGAAAGAUUAGCUAAUACCGCAUACGACCUGGGGGUGAAAGUGGGGGACCGCAAGGCCUCAUGCUAUAGGAGCGGCCGAUGUCUGAUUAGCUAGUUGGUGAGGUAAAGGCUCACCAAGGCGACGAUCAGUAGCUGGUCUGAGAGGACGAUCAGCCACACUGGGACUGAGACACGGCCCAGACUCCUACGGGAGGCAGCAGUGGGGAAUUUUGGACAAUGGGCGAAGGCCUGAUCCAGCAAUGCCGCGUGUGUGAAGAAGGCCUUCGGGUUGUAAAGCACUUUUGUCCGGAAAGAAAUGGCUCUGGUUAAUACCUGGGGUCGAUGACGGUACCGGAAGAAUAAGGACCGGCUAACUACGUG